GGCCAAGCAAAGAGGUGAGCAAGAAUGAUGACAUUCUGCUUACACAGUGUUAUUUCUUCCCACAGGAUUAUUCUAGGCACCUGAAUAGAACAGCCAGCCAGGAUGGCUUGUUCCUGCUCUCCUAUGCUUCUAUCAUUGGCAGUAAACUUGUGCAAACACUGGGAUCCCUGGAUACCAUGGUAAUUUCCCAGACUUUGAAAUUACCGUGGGUGGGGCCUGUCCCCAUGUCAUACUUCCCCUUUUUGAUACAAAGCAUGGAAUAGGAAGGAAAACAGGGUUCCACAGAACUUAUGUAGAGAAA
rnacentral:lncRNA from 1 species